UAGAGACUUAGGAUAAACAAACCGAGGGCCUUCAAAGCCCUAAACAAGAGCUACUCUCUUAGUCCCUGCCUAAAACCUAUAGAACUACUCUACAUCUCCUGAUUGCAAAUCAGACACUUUAAUUAAACUAAGGCUUCCAGGAGUCGGAGGGCCUCGAUCCCACAUAAUAUUAGUUAACAGCUAACACGCUAACCAGCAAGCAUCAACUCCAUAUCAAGUCUAAGGACUAUAUUCUAGCCCACUAUCUGAUUUGCACUCAAAUACUCACUUUAGACUAAU
rnacentral:misc_RNA from 1 species